rnacentral:lncRNA from 1 species
AUUUUAAAAGUUAAAUCUUUGCAAAAGCAAAAAAAAAUGAAAUAUUUUACAUCCAAAGGAGUGAAAAGGUAAACAUUUUACACAAUUUACAUAUUCAGUCAGAAGAUGUCAGUUUGAAGACAGCUGUAUAGUUGACUGCAUUUCAAGGAGUGAAUUUGUAAGCUGUUCUUUAAAAUAACACUUAAGUGUCCAUCCCACAGAGGGACAAAUUUGGUUUGGAUAUUGGCUCUGAGGACAAAAUUGCCACCAAGACAAAAUUGGUUUGGAUAUUGGCACUGAUGACAGGACAAACUCCAGGAGCGUGUGUCAGGAUUCAGUGGGAUUUUCCGGUGAUAUUCAAGCAGAAAAAAAUAGCGAGCAGCAGGCAGGCCAGGGCUUUAGCUCAGCACCUGCCUGGCAAGUGCGAGGUCCUGAGUUGGAUCCCUGGUACCAAAAACAGAACUGGCAGCAGGCAGAACAAUCUAAGAGUUGGAAAAUGUAAGGUAAGUGUUUAACUUUUUUCCAGUUGUGAAUACAGUUCCAGCAUGGUGAUAGGAGUACCAAUCAAAGGGAUGGGGCAGGGGAUAAGAUAGGCUUAAAUGUCAUUGUAGUUACUUAAUGGCAGACACAGUAGUAGUCUUUAAUUCAAAACCAACAGUCUGGAGUAUGAGGUGGGUUCUCUGGUUAGAGAUAAAUAAAUAUUGACAUAGGUGCCUGAGCUUUUUCAAAAUGUAUCUUCACUGUGUUGACAGGGUCUGUCUUAAUGGUUUUAAGGUAGCUACUGUGGCUCCCGGUAUCACAUCUUCACUCAAGAACAUCUCAAAGGGAGGUGAGAAGGAGGGAAGGAGGGAUUCUUAUG